rnacentral:rRNA from 1 species
UUAAAAAGUUAGUUGUUAAUUCAAUUUAAUUUGAAGUUAAUAUUUUAUUAAAAAUUAUAGUUAUAUUUAUAUUAAAAGAAAUAAUUUUAAAUUUAUUAUUAUAAAGAAAAAUUUUAAAUUAAUGAUAAUGUAUAGUAUUGUGAAAGAAUAAUUUUAAUUAUAAAAAAGAAAAAUUUAUUUUUUGUACCUUGUGCAUCAGGGUUUAUUAAAAGCAACUUUAAUAUUAAAUAAUCUCGAAUUUAAAAGAGCUAAAAAUUUAAUAUUAAUAUUGUAAAAUAACUAUAUUAAAUAAAUUUUUAGUAAUGAAACGUUAUUCGUUUUUAAAUAUAUCUAGUUUUUUAAGAAAUAAAUUUAAUUUAUUUAUUAUUAAUAUAGAAUUUAUUUAUUAAUUUUAUAUUUAUAAUAUUAAAUAUUUUUAGGGAUGAGCUUAAAAAUAAAUUUUUAUUAAAAAAUUAUUAUAAUAAAAUAUUUUAGGAUUAUAAAUUUCCAUAAUUUAAAGUAUGUUAUAAUUUAUUUUUAUUAUUUUAUAAUUUUUAUUUUUUAUAAAUUUUUUAUUAAAAUAUAUUUUUAUAUAAAAAAAAAUUAGAAAUAAUGAUAAAAUUAGUAUAAAUUAUUUAAAUAAUAAGUAAAAUGUUUAGGUUUAUUUAAGGAAUUCGGCAAAUCAUUUUUCACCUGUUUAUUAAAAACAUGGCCUUUUGUAUAAAAUUUAAGGUCUAACCUGCCCACUGAUUAAUUUAAAUGGCCGCGGUAUUUUGACCGUGCUAAGGUAGCAUAAUCAUUAGUUUUUUAAUUGAAAGCUGGAAUGAAGGGUUGAAUGAAAAAAUAACUGUCUCUUAUAAAUUUUAUUAGAAUUUUAUUUUUAAGUUAAAAAGCUUAAAUUAGUUUAAAAGACGAGAAGACCCUAUAGAGUUUAAUAUAAUUUUUUAAUAUAAAAAUUUAGAAUUAGGGCUUUAUAUUAAUUUUUAUAUUCAAUUGGGGUGAUUAAAAAAUUAAAUUAACUUUUUUUAUAUAUUUAUAUGAAUUAAUAAUUAUUUGAUCCAAUUUUUUUGAUUAUAAGAAUAAAUUACCUUAGGGAUAACAGCGUAAUUUUACUGGAGAGUUCAAAUCGAUAGUAAAGAUUGCGACCUCGAUGUUGGAUUAAAAUUUAUUUUUGGUGUAGAAGCUAAAAAAUUAAGUCUGUUCGACUUUUAAAAUUUUACAUGAUCUGAGUUUAAACCGGUGUAAGCCAGGUUGGUUUCUAUCUUUAAAAAUUUAAUUUAUUUUAGUACGAAAGGACCAGAUAAA